UUGCAGCCAUAAAUCCAUACUUACUAAUCCUCUGUGCUGUUCCAGACAUUCAGCCAAUUGUGUACCUUUGAUUACAUAACUAAAUCUGUUUUGAUAUACAAAGCACCAUGGUACAUCCAGGACAAACCAAGUUUUGCAUUUCGCGGGCUUAUGCUUGAUACAUCACGACACUAUUUGCCAAUUGAUGUUAUUAAGCAGAUAAUUGAAUCAAUGUCAUAUGCUAAAUUCAAUGUCCUUCAUUGGCACAUUAUAGAUGAGGAGUCAUUUCCUCUAGAAGUACCUACAUAUCCAAAUCUGUGGAAAGGUGCAUAUUCAAAGUGGGAGCGGUAUACAGUCGAAGACGCAUAUGAAAUUGUCAGGUGAGAGUUGUCAAACUUGUUCAAUAUCAAAAUCAGUUGGGCUUUUAAACUCCUUAUCCAAAAUUUUAUCUGGGUUUUUCACCUAUUUCUUUAAAGGAGAAGGUUUUACCUCUCUGUCAAAUUGUAAUAUUAUUCUAUCUUGAAUUUCUAUAUAAUUGAGAUUCCUUGAUUUUUCUGUGUAAUUUUUCAAUUAACUGAUUUUCACUGGAUGAAUAUAAGCAAGAUUUUGGCUCCAUUUGACAGGCUUUUCGGUUGUUUGAUUGUGUAGAAAAUUGACACAAAAUGUCCAAAGGUCCAUAAAUGAUCAUGCUGGUUUCAAACAGCUUUAGAAUAAAAAGAAAAAAUAUGUAUCGAAUGAUAAAAUGCCGUUAGACCUACUUCUUGAAUAGGAUGAGAAAAUAAUGAGUAAAUUUUUUCAGCAAACAUAAGGUGUAUAAUCUGAAUAUUUUUAGUUUUCUAACUGAAAAAUGGUAAAUGUUCCCCAAUAGUGUAGGUCAACUAUAUAUUUUUUAAUCUUUAUUAUCUUUUUGCUGUUUAAUUUUUCCAAUCUCUUCCACAUUCUCA